AAGGAGACUGCCAGUGAUAAACUGGAGGAAGGUGGGGAUGACGUCAAGUCAUCAUGGCCCUUACGACCAGGGCUACACACGUGCUACAAUGGCGCAUACAAAGAGAAGCGACCUCGCGAGAGCAAGCGGACCUCAUAAAGUGCGUCAUAGUCCGGAUUGGAGUCUGCAACUCGACUCCAUGAAGUCGGAAUCGCUAGUAAUCGUGGAUCAGAAUGCCACGGUGAAUACGUUCCCGGGCCUUGUACACACCGCCCGUCACACCAUGGGAGUGGGUUGCAAAAGAAGUAGGUAGCUUAACCUUCGGGAGGGCGCUUACCACUUUGUGAUUCAUGACUGGGGUGAAGUCGUAACAAGGUAACCGUAGGGGAACCUGCGGUUGGAUCACCUCCUUA
rnacentral:rRNA from 1 species